rnacentral:rRNA from 1 species
AGUGAACGCUGGCGGUAGGCCUAACACAUGCAAGUCGAACGGCAGCACAGGAGAGCUUGCUCUCUGGGUGGCGAGUGGCGGACGGGUGAGGAAUACAUCGGAAUCUGCCCAGUCGUGGGGGAUAACGUAGGGAAACUUACGCUAAUACCGCAUACGACCUUCGGGUGAAAGAGGGGGAUCGCAAGACCUCUCGCGAUUGGAUGAGCCGAUGUCGGAUUAGCUAGUUGGCGGGGUGAUGGCCCACCAAGGCGACGAUCCGUAGCUGGUCUGAGAGGAUGAUCAGCCACACUGGAACUGAGACACGGUCCAGACUCCUACGGGAGGCAGCAGUGGGGAAUAUUGGACAAAGGGCGCAAGCCUGAUCCAGCCAUACCGCGUGGGUGAAGAAGGCCUUCGGGUUGUAAAGCCCUUUUGUUGGGAAAGAAAUCUUUCAGGCUAAUACCCUGGGAGGAUGACGGUACCCAAAGAAUAAGCACCGGCUAACUUCGUG